UACAGAGACUGCAAGCGUUAUUCGGAUUAACUGGGCGUAAAGGGUGCGCAGGCGGCCAAGUGUGUGAGGCGUGAAAGCCCGGGGCUUAACCCCGGAAUUGCACCUCAAACUACAUGGCUAGAGCAUUGGAGAGGGUAGCGGAAUUCACGGUGUAGCAGUGAAAUGCGUAGAUAUCGUGAGGAACACCAGAGGCGAAGGCGGCUACCUGGACAAUUGCUGACGCUCAGGCACGAAAGCGUGGGGAGCAAAAGGG
rnacentral:rRNA from 1 species